AGGGUUGUGGCUCAAUAGUAGAGCACUUGCCUGGUAUGCAUGAGGCUCUGGGUUCGAUUCCCGGUACUA
rnacentral:tRNA from 1 species